GACGAACGCUGGCGGCGUGCUUAACACAUGCAAGUCGAACGGAAAGGCCCUGCUUUUGUGGGGUGCUCGAGUGGCGAACGGGUGAGUAACACGUGGGUAACCUGCCCUUGACUUUGGGAUAACUUCAGGAAACUGGGGCUAAUACCGGAUAGGAGCUCCUGCUGCAUGGUGGGCGUUGGAAAGUUUCGGCGGUUGGGGAUGGACUCGCGGCUUAUCAGCUUGUUGGUGGGGUAGUGGCUUACCAAGGCUUUGACGGGUAGCCGGCCUGAGAGGGUGACCGGCCACAUUGGGACUGAGGUACGGCCCAGACUCCUACGGGAGGCAGCAGUGGGGAAUAUUGCACAAUGGGCGGAAGCCUGAUGCAGCAACGCCGCGUGCGGGAUGACGGCCUUCGGGUUGUAAACCGCUUUCGCCUGUGACGAAGCGUGAGUGACGGUAAUGGGUAAAGAAGCACCGGCUAACUACGUG
rnacentral:rRNA from 1 species